rnacentral:rRNA from 1 species
UACGUAGGGUGCAAGCGUUGUCCGGAAUUAUUGGGCGUAAAGAGCUUGUAGGCGGUUUGUCGCGUCUGCUGUGAAAUUUCGGGGCUCAACCCCGAACUUGCAGUGGGUACGGGCAGGCUAGAGUGUGGUAGGGGAGACUGGAAUUCCUGGUGUAGCGGUGAAAUGCGCAGAUAUCAGGAGGAACACCGAUGGCGAAGGCAGGUCUCUGGGCCGCUACUGACGCUGAGAAGCGAAAGCAUGGGGAGCGAACAGG